AUACACAGGUUCUCGUACGAUCACUGAAGUUAAGCAACGUCGAGCCUGUUCAGUACCUAGAUGAGUGACCGUUUUGGAAUACCAGGU